CUACGUGCCAGCAGCCGCGGUAAUACGGAAGGUCCUGGCGUUAUCCGGAUUUAUUGGGUUUAAAGGGAGCGCAGGCUGCACUUUAAGCGUGUUGUGAAAUGUACCGGCUCAACCGGUAACGUGCAGCGCGAACUGGGGUGCUUGAGUACGAAGAGGGAAGGCGGAACUCGUGGUGUAGCGGUGAAAUGCUUAGAUAUCACGAGGAACUCCGAUCGCGAAGGCAGCUUUCCGUUUCGGAACUGACGCUGAGGCUCGAAAGUGCGGGUAUCGAACAGGAUUAGAUACCCUGGUAGUCCGCACGGUAAACGAUGGAUGCUCGCUGUUGGAUAUUUUUAUUCAGUGGCUAAGUGAAAACGUUAAGCAUCCCACCUGGGGAGUACGCCGGCAACGGUGAAACUCAAAGGAAUUGACGGGGGCCCGCACAAGCGGAGGAACAUGUGGUUUAAUUCGAUGAUACGCGAGGAACCUUACCCGGGCUUGA
rnacentral:rRNA from 1 species